rnacentral:rRNA from 1 species
UACGUAGGGGGCAAGCGUUGUCCGGAUUUAUUGGGCGUAAAGAGCGUGUAGGCGGCUUUACAGGUCCGUUGUGAAAACUCGAGGCUCAACCUCGAGACGCCGGUGGAAACCGUAAGGCUAGAGUCCGGAAGAGGAGAGUGGAAUUCCUGGUGUAGCGGUGAAAUGCGCAGAUAUCAGGAGGAACACCCGUGGCGAAAGCGGCGAUCCCUAGGAC